GCCAAAUAUUUACACCCAUAGUUUAUUCCUUUCUCCUCCUUCCUAUUUUUCAUGAUUUUUUUUUCUAAUAUGUACCAAAACUCCAACUAUACAAUAACAUACAUAAAUUUUAAAAAAUAAAUUAAACACUUUUAUUCUCAAAAUAUCUUUCAACUCAACCCGAUCCAUAUAACUCCCCUUGACUUGACUCUCAAAGUCAAAGUCAAAAUUAUUCUGCUACGCAACGGCGCACGUUAGUGUUGGUUCAAGUUAUCCCACAAAGAUGCGCACUUCCUUUUGGCAAAUCCAACUCUUUUCUUUUCUAAAUCAUAAACAACUUCAAAUCCUUGUUGAAAAUAAUUUCCUAAUAUCCCUGCGGGCCCACUUUCCCCUUCAUCACCACCGUUCAUCAACAUCACACAUCCUACUUUUCUUUUCACUUUCUCAUCAUCAACGAACUCAUAAAAAUAGUUUCUCCUGGGCAUCACCACACUGGAAUUUCCCCCAAAAUGUAGUAACAGCUGCGGCACAUUUUUUGAACCGGAGUCCAUAUAGUAACACGGGUGAAGACCGGUUUUUUCCUCGACCGGGUUUGCUCUUUUCAAAACCGGUCCAACUCUCCGGUCGAAUUCAGUCACCACUGUUUCAUAGAACUUCAAAGGUAACAUAGUGAAAGUUGUACCGGAAUCCACCACCAUUCCGCCGUUUCCUCUUCUGUCAACUCGCCGUAAACUCGCCGGCGCCGGGAUUUUUGUUUUUCCGAUUGAUACACCUUCGAGUCCGACGCUGUAGAAAUAUGGAUGUUUUGGGUUCUCGAGCAUUGGGGUGUAAGCGUAAUCGGAGUAAUAAUUCUUCAUCUGUUUCAUUUUUUCAUCGAUUGAGUAUCGGCCGAGAAUGAGCGGACUGGGUCGAUGAACUUGAUUCGUGUCAAAAGUGUGAGAAACUAAACAAUAAGAGAAGUAAUUUCCGAUUUCCGGGGAGUUAUUCGCGAGUUGCGCCGGCAAUGAAAGUGUCCCCCGGCCAAAUCCAGCUACUCCGAUGGGUUCACCGAGAGCACUGUGAGCACACCCAAAUGUAAAAUUCUUCAAAAUCAACGAUGGAGACGACAUGGGUAUUGAUAAUUCAUCGCUGUAAAGCUUCGCGAUGAAACUUCCAUCACCAUAAGCAUAGUAAAAAGGGGGACACGAAUACGACUUGCAAUCAGAAAUUUCAAUAUCUUCAAGUGGGCAUUUCGCGAUAGUGCAGAGGUCGGAGGACGGUAACGAAGAGUGAACGGCGGAACAAGCACGUGAUUUGCACGAGACAGGGACGGCGGAGGUGAGGUUGAUAGGACCAGGGUUAGGGAUAGAGGUAGGAUUAUACUUCCCUUCACAGAGAAUACAAUCAAAUGGAUGACAGGGGAGCCAAACGACAUCGCUACCAGUAUCCAUGUAUAGCGAAAUAGUCUGAGACCCAAGUGAAAAGGAGAGAGUGUAAUCACUUCCCGGAGUUAGAGGAAGAGAAACUUGACGGUGGGGAUGACGGUGAUGAUGGAGACGAGAGGCGGAGCGAACAGUGGUGGAUUUGAGAAGAUGAUGAGUACUGUUGAAUUGGGUUCUUGAAAAAGAAUGGGUUAAAGGGAAAACCAACGCUGCAGAAGCAGAAUAGAAAAGGAACAUAGAGAUGAAAAUGACAAGAGCGAAGAAAACAGAAGAGGAAGCCAUUGUUGGUGAAAACAGAGUUUUUUGCAGAAAACAGAGUAUUGUUUCAAAUGAAUAAAUAAACAGCUGAAAACUGUACUGGAGUCUGGACCUUAUCUUUUAUGUACACAGACUCACAGAUAGAGAGAGAGAGAGAAGAGAGAG
rnacentral:misc_RNA from 1 species